rnacentral:lncRNA from 1 species
CUGAUGCUGGGCAGGGCAGGAAACCACAGCUCUCGGAGAGUCAUGUGAUAACAAGUCUCUUCUUUGAUCUCUUGAGAAGAAAGCCUAGACCACACUACAAGAAAUCCCACUGAGUUGUUGGUUGGGGAAACAUCAAAUGCACACCUACAGAAAAGCCUGGACUCAAUCACUUCCACCACAACCUCUGGCCUUCCGGGAGGUGAAGGUGGCGAUGCGGCCAAAGACUGACCUAGUGGAAGAAAAUGCAUAAUUUGUAAAUUAAAGAUUUUGAAGAAUGAAGACUGGCUUAUGGAAAAAGCAUAGAAAGAUUAUAACUCUG